GUCCCCGUGCCCUUGCAGCCCCAUCACCCUUCCGCUUUCUUCUUCCCUCCCUCUUCAAAUAGCGCGGGCCCCUUCCUCUCACCCUAAGACCUCCCCGUAAGACCUCCCCGGCUGCAGUGUCAUCUACUCCCUCGCCUUGCGCCAGCAUUCUCCUUGGAAACUGUCAGUUGGCCCUGCGUCUGGAACCCUUCACCCCUGAAGAGGCACUGCUCUUCGCUCAUCACAGGGGCCCUCAAGCCCUCUCUCCCUAGACCUGUCCAAAGCCACGGACCCCCAACUCAGAGGGUGGAGGAUCCGAUCCAGGAGAUGGGGAAGGCAGACUGCAACCAAGGCGACCAAGGGGAAAGGAAGGGUCUGGCGCGUCUGGGGGCCCUUCUGCGGGACCCAGGUGGGUGGCCCGGGUGGGGUAGGGCGGGGCGGGGGUACUUACAGGCGCUCGGCGUUGCGGGGGAUGCCCCGAGGAACCGCCCGGAGGCCCAGCCCAUGGCAGUCCACGCUGGCGGCGGAGCAGUCCAUCAAAGCUGCAGCCCUGCCUCAUCUACAAAGAGCCUCAAAGGUCCUGCCUGAUCUUGGCCAAGAUCCGCUUCUUCCUGAAGGACCUGUUGCAUGGACACGACUGCCCUCCACGAUCCCAAGUGUCAGGAAACGGCCACCUGAGUUGUUCAGGCCACUGCCGCUGCCUUCCAAGCAGUGUGAUCCAGCAAUCCAGCUGUUUCCAUCUAGUGGCGAAACUAUCUCAAGAUGCAGCUGCCACUGUCACCAAGAAACAAAGAUGAAGAGCAAGAGACCUUAUGCCUUCUCGUCCAUCUUUCAGUUCAGAGGUGACCUAUGUCACUUCCACUUAGUGGAACCGCCUAGAAAUAAUCCGUUGGUCCUAACUAACUGCAAGUGGCCUGCAAAUUAUGAGGGAGCACACAAAUAG
rnacentral:lncRNA from 1 species